UAGAAGUACCAAUAUAUUAAAAAAAUUAUUCAAAAAAGUUAAGAAUUUAUUUCAUCAGGUUGAGCAGUACCCCAUAUCUAUGCUGGUUUUUGAUUCCUUCAAUCCAGUUUUGUCCUGUUCUAAUUUGUCUCCGGAUUUUAUUCACAUCCUUUCAAUUCUAUUUUCUCGCACACGAAUAAGAUGGGUUGUUAGUGUGUGACUAAGUUUCCUAUUUUCAUGGUAGUCAGUUGCAUUGCCAAGUCCAUAAAUUUGGCCCUUUCAGUUUCUAAUAGAGAACUCAGAUCAGAACCGUUUUUCUGUGUUAACACUAAUCACCUAUCCCGUCAAUUCCAAACAUAAGGAGGUGGAGAAACUAAAAGUUGCUGCUUUGAAAGCUAAUACAUGUGAGGAGUGUGGUGCUACUUUCCAAAAACAUUCUUAUUUGUUGCAGCUUAUGCUAAGUCAUUCUCUUAAGUUAUCAGGGAAUCUAUAUUCAUGAUUAAUUUGUAUCUAAGUUGUUAACUUAAUACCGGAGACGCGCCGGACCUCCAAAAUGGUGUCAUAUGUGUUUGUUUCAGGAGGUGGAGAAAGCAAAGUUGCUUCUAAGCCUAGAGCAAAGGGUACUUUGAAAGCUAAUACACGUGAGGAGUGUGAAGUUAAUUUAAAAAAGAACAUGCUUAUUUGUUGCAUGUGAGUAAGUAGUGGCUUAACAAUAAUUUUCAUUGUUGUAUUUGAUCUUUUUCUGAAUAAAUGUGUAGGUAGGGAUUCUAUAUUUGGUGUUGACCUGAAUAAUAUUUCAUGAAAAAUAUUACUAAUAUGAAUGAACUAAAGAUACCCAUUUUUGCUGGAAAUUAAUCCUUUACACAUUAAAAUCAUCUAUUGAAUUAUGGACAUUAUAGGUGAAGAAUUUGUAUCCUACAAUGCUUAUCUAUUUUGAAUAAAAGUACCAACUAAAAAAAUCAUUUUCAAAACAUAUAAUUUAUUCUUUAAUAUACAAAUAAUGAAUAACAGUAUUAGCAUCGGCACCUGCCGAUAUCGUAUUGUCUAUCACAGACUGUUUUUUAAAAUUCUUACGGCAUAUGCAAAGUCUUUCGUUUGAGGUUGCUUAUCAAUAAUUUUCAUUGUUGUAUUUGAAUUUUUUCUGAAUAAUUGUGUUAUGUGGCUUUUGAGUUAUCAUGAUUUAUACUUAUUAAUUUAGUAAUUAAUUAAGUUAUUAGUGAUUCUCUAUCAAUGGUUAGUUUGCAUGGAAAGACAUAAACCUAAAGAUCACAUGCUUGUUUCUAUGCUUGCUUUAACAUGUUUUUUUUUGUGAUUUGUAACGGAGGCCAUAUUUUUGUACCCUUGAUGACUGUAAUGCAAGUCAGAGAAGAAAGGACCAUUUGAAUCGUCAGUACUACAACAUCAAGAGAAAAUUUUCAAAAGACGCGUCGACGAGAUUCAUGAUGAAAAUCCUACCCCUACUAGUAGUGGUGCAAAUCACAAGCAUUUUCAAUGUUCUGAAAUUGGGUGUGGAAAGGUUUUCAGAUAUGCAUCACAGCUGCAGAAGCAUGUGGAUUCUUAUGUUAAGUUGAUGACAAUUGACAAUGGUCUGCUUAGAGCCAGGUCGAAUGAAACAUUUCGCCAAUACCGAGUGUCUUAAGACUCAUGUAAACUCCUUCCAUCAACAUGUGACCUGUGACAUCUAUGGGACUAAGCUUUUAACUUUGAGCUCCCGUGGAAAUUUUUGUAUCUUUAACCUAGAACUCUCAUUUUAGAAUACUGAAAAAUGUAAAGUAUCUCAAAAAUAUCUAAAAUGAUGCUUAAAUACCCAUGCUGCCCGGACAAAUUCGUCCGGUGAGCGGCCAAAAAUCACAUUUUUGGUCAAAAUAUCUGGCUUCACCCAGGAUCUGCCAAGCGAAUUCCUCACUCCAAGCGCGCCAGGCGAAAUUGCUGCUGGAAUUUGAGAAACUCAGCUCCCUCCUUUCUCGCCUCGUGCUCGCCUGGCAGCUCGCUCCAACCUCGCCACCAGCUUGCCCGGCGAAAAUGCUGAAACAUCAACAAUUUGCUUGGCUUCAAACUUCUUCCCCUGGACAUUCUUUUUAACACCUAUGCUUAUGCUUAUGGAUUUUGCUUCAAAGUCAACAAACAUAUUACAAAUAUCAAAAUUAUUCACAUAAACACUAUUAUCAAGUAAAAUUGGAAACUUUAAUCACAAAAUAAAAUACAAUGAAAAGGCUUGAAAUUGUCAACUUUUGAUAUAUAAUUAUACUCAUUUUUGACACCUAACAAUCCCAUUCAAGAAAGCAUUAUUGAUGUCUAGUUGAUUUAAUUUCCACGAUGCCCGGCUGAGUAAUACUCAAAUAAUGGUGAAUUUUGCUAAUGCAGAAACAAUAUCUAUAAAAUCAAGGCCAAGUUACUGAGUAUAUCCCUUUGUAACCAAUCUAACCUUAUAUUUGUCCAAUGAUCCAUCAUCAUUGAGUUUAGUAUUAUAUAUCCAUCUAAACCCAAUGGUUUUCUUGUCAGGAGGUAAAUGUUGAACUGUCCAGGUGCUGUUUAGAGUUGCUAUUUAUUCACUCAUGGCCUUGCACCAUUCAGAAUUUUGGCAUCUUUAUGAUAAAACGAAGGUUCAAUGUUAGGAAUAUGAUCAUCAGUGGGGCCAUCACAAAUGGGAUCUGGUAAGACUAUUUGACUAAAAGGAUCAAUAUGACUAUUAUUUUGAGACAUUGAAUCGAAAGGGAAAUUGUGUUCAUGGAAAACAAUAUCUCUAGAGACAUGAAAGGCUUGAGUCAUAAACUUUGAAACUUUCAAAACCAACAAGAUAACCUAGAAAAACACAUGGGACAACUUUAGGAGAAAAUUUAUUUCUAUGCUGAGGUAUGGUGGAAAUGUAACAAAAACAUCUAAAAACUCUAAAAUCAGAACAGGUAGGAAUUUUGUCAUAAAGAA